AAAACACAAAGCGAGAUAAAAGAGGGAAGUAAAUAGAGUA
rnacentral:guide_RNA from 1 species